GCCAAUAGGAAGGUGAAUUUGGGCGAAUUUAUGAAGAGGGUGAAGACUAUCCAGAAAUUGCCCCCAGGUGUGGAGGACAAAGUGGAUGUGGGGAACCUGGACUCUGUCCUGGCCAGCAUGGGGAUCCAUUUAACCCAGGAGGAGCUGCAGCAGGCACUGAAGCACAGCCCGGUUGACAGAGACGGCAAAGUCGGCCUGAGUGCGUUUAUGAAGAGCGUGAUGAAUACGCGGAGACCGUCCCAGGC